rnacentral:rRNA from 1 species
AGAGUUUGAUCCUGGCUCAGGAUGAACGCUGGCGGUAUGCUUAACACAUGCAAUUCGAACGGACUCUUCGGAGUUAGUGGCGGACGGGUGAGUAACGCGUGAGAAUCUGCCUACAGAUUGGGGACAACGUCGGGAAACUGACGCUAAUACCGAAUGUGCCGAGAGGUGAAAGAUUUAUCGUCUGUAGAUGAGCUCGCGUCUGAUUAGCUAGUUGGGGCGGUAACGGCGCACCAAGGCGACGAUCAGUAACUGGUCUGAGAGGAUGACCAGUCACACUGGGACUGAGACACGGCCCAGACUCCUACGGGAGGCAGCAGUGGGGAAUUUUCCGCAAUGGGCGAAAGCCUGACGGAGCAAUACCGCGUGCGGGAGGACGCUUUUUGGAGUGUAAACCGCUUUUCUCAAGGAAGAUGAUGACGGUACUUGAGGAAUCAGCAUCGGCUAACUUCGUGCCAGCAGCCGCGGUAAUACGAGGGAUGCAAGCGUUAUCCGGAAUUAUUGGGCGUAAAGCGUUCGUAGGUGGCAAAUUAAGUCUGUUGUCAAAACGUGGAGCUUAACUCCAUAUCGGCAAUGGAAACUGGUUAGCUAGAGUAUGGUAGGGGUAACAGGAAUUCCCAGUGUAGCGGUGAAAUGCGUAGAUAUUGGGAAGAACACCAGCGGCGAAAGCGUGUUACUGGGCCAUUACUGACACUGAGGGACGAAAGCUAGGGGAGCGAAAGGGAUUAGAUACCCCUGUAGUCCUAGCCGUAAACGAUGAGAACUAGGUGUUGCGCGUAUCGACCCGCGCGGUGCCGUAGCUAACGCGUUAAGUUCUCCGCCUGGGGAGUACGCACGCAAGUGUGAAACUCAAAGGAAUUGACGGGGGCCCGCACAAGCGGUGGAGUAUGUGGUUUAUUUCGAUGCAACGCGAAGAACCUUACCAGGGUUUGACAUCCUCGGAACUUUCUGGAAACAGAUUGGUGCCUUCGGGAACCGAGAGACAGGUGGUGCAUGGCUGUCGUCAGCUCGUGUCGUGAGAUGUUGGGUUAAGUCCCGCAACGAGCGCAACCCACGUUUUUAGUUGCCAGCAUUAAGUUGGGCACUCUAGAGAGACUGCCGGUGACAAACCGGAGGAAGGUGUGGAUGACGUCAAGUCAGCAUGCCCCUUACAUCCUGGGCUACACACGUACUACAAUGCUACGGACAAAGGGCAGCGAGCCAGCAAUGGUCUGCAAAUCCCAUAAACCGUGGCUCAGUUCAGAUUGCAGGCUGCAACUCGCCUGCAUGAAGGCGGAAUCGCUAGUAAUCGCAGGUCAGCAUACUGCGGUGAAUACGUUCCCGGGCCUUGUACACACCGCCCGUCACACCAUGGGAGUUGGUCACGCCCGAAGUGGUUACCCUAACCGUAAGGAGGGGGACCCCUAAGGCAGGG